GACGAACGCUGGCGGCGUGCUUAACACAUGCAAGUCGAACGGAAAGGCCCCUUUGGGGGUACUCGAGUGGCGAACGGGUGAGUAACACGUGAGUAACCUGCCCUUGACUUCGGGAUAACUUCAUGAAACUGGGGCUAAUACCGGAUAGGAAUCCUUGCUGCAUGGUGGGGGUUGGAAAGCUUCGGGGGUUUGGGAUGGACUCGCGGCUUAUCAGCUUGUUGGUGGGGUAGUGGCUUACCAAGGCGUUGACGGGUAGCCGGCCUGAGAGGGCGACCGGCCACAUUGGGACUGAGAUACGGCCCAGACUCCUACGGGAGGCAGCAGGGGGGAAUAUUGCACAAUGGGCGGAAGCCUGAUGCAGCAACGCCGCGUGCGGGAUGACGGCCUUCGGGUUGGAAACCGCUUUCAGCAGGGGCGAAGUUUGUGGUGACGGUACCUGCAGAAGAAGCACCGGCUAACUACGUG
rnacentral:rRNA from 1 species